GGACAUAGCUCAGUGGUAGAGCACUUGCCUAGCAUGUGGAAGGGCCUGGGUUCCAUCCCCAGAACCA
rnacentral:tRNA from 1 species